CGUGUCUUCCCGCCCCUUCUCAUUUAAAAAACAAAAAACGGUUUGCCGCUCACCACUUAAACAGGGGCACCUGCGUGUCAAUGGAUAAACUCUAGGCCUAAUCUAUCAAAGUAAGAUUUAUAUUUCAUUUUAUAUUAACCGGGUACUGCUGCUUUUAUCUACCCUUUAAUUGGAUAUUUUCUUCAACGCGACGCGGCUGACCGGCGGGGAGACUCAUCAUGAAGGCGAAAGUCCUAAGAGUGUGUUAAAUGGCGCGCAGGCAGACCGGCGGGAGACUCGUGAAGACGAAAAGCUCUACGAAUACUUUAAAUAGGAGCGGCGCUGGCAGAGCGGCCGGAUCCUCGGGAGACAGGCGGCCAUAAACAAGACCGUUUUAAACAUUUUCAGAUGGUAUGAAGCUGAGGAGUCUGCACAGGCCUAGGAAUAUCAUUUUAUCCUGAUCUAUUCAAGUGUUUUUGUCUAUUUUUGUUUAAUAUUUUGUUUUACCCAAUAAAAAAUGU